rnacentral:lncRNA from 1 species
AGCUCGUGCGUCACGACGCCGCCAGCUGAUCGGAGCCUGGAGCCGGUGUGUGCUGGGUGCCGAGAAGAGACAGCGCCGCCGGCCGUGGGGAGCGGACGCAGUGAUUUGCUCCCCCUCGUGCAGCAACCCCCACACCCAGCACCAGGCCCCCAGAACUCUCCUUCCAGCUGAACUCCCUGGGAACAAGUCAGUUGGGCUGAUCACUGAACUCACAUUUCUGGACCUGAGGAGCCUGUUCCUCUCACGCCCUCACCUGGCUGAGCCGCAGUAGUUCUUCAGUGGCAAGCUUUAUGUCCUGACCCAGCUAAAGCUGCCAGUUGAAGAACUGUUGCCCUCUGCCCCUGGCUUCGAGGAGGAGGAGGAGCUGCUUUCCCCAUCAUCUGGAAGGUGACAGAAAUGGGCUGGGAAGGUCCGAACAGCAGGGUGGAUGAUACGUUUUGGGCAAGUUGGAGAGCCUUUGCCCAGAUUGGCCCAGCAAGGAGCGGUUUUAGAUUAGAGACACUGGCUGGAUUGAGGAGUAGAAGGCUCAAACAACCCAAGGUGGUAUGUGAUCCCCAGCUCAGGCCUGUGCAGACAGGAAAUUCUCCCCUGCAGCAAGUAGGGGAGGUGGGUUGUGGGAUGUGACCUCCUUCCAGAUAUCAGGCAGUGAGUGUAAACCUGCCACCUCCAGCCCUGAUCCAUUCUCACCUAGCGGCUACAGGAAGCUGUGUCUGUUCGAUUUGGUGGGAGGAGAUGUGCAGGGAGCUGUAUCUUGUCCUCCGCUUGUGAAAAACUCAAGGAUGUGGAGAAGAGUAGACCGUGGAACCCUGCUCUUCUGCAGCCAAGCUGAGGGGCAGGAUGCGUGUGGGACAGUGGUAGAGAAGCAGGGGAUAGACUCAUAGGCUGCAACAAAGGUGACUCUGUCCCUGGACACUGCCUCCGUACUUUCUCCUUGCUUCACUGGCCACAGCAUCUCCCUCCAGCCCUCGCUAUGUGCCUCUGCCAUCUUCACCCAUCAUGGAGCAGAGGUGAGGAGAGGCAGCCUGGGAAUAUGGAGACCAGUGAAGGACCAGGCCUGGAGAGCACAGGGUCCUACCUGGGCAUCCAGCAGAGGAGCCCCUAAAGGCCAGGAGCACCCCAAGAGGAGGGAGGGCAGCCAGCCUCCAUUGACGGCGAGCCUCCAGCCCUCUCCUACUUUGAUCACCAUUUCUCUCCAGGCUUUCUGCCUCCGAGAUGUGGCACCAUAGUGCGGUGCCCUGUGGCUUCACCGCCCUACUUCCACCUCCGCCCAGCCUGUAAUGUUUAUAUAAGCAGCCUCAAGGACCAAGAACCAUCUGCGAAAGGACACACACAGGAAAUUCAUAAAAGAAAUCUGAAUGGAUAAAACCAUGAAAAAAAGUAUGCUUCAUUAGUAAUUAAAGAAAGGCAAAUAGAGCUGGAAGCAUUUUUCCCUUAGCAAACCAUAACAGAAAAAAAUAAGACCCAAUAUUGGCAAAGAGACUACUGAAAAAACAUUCCCAUACAUUGCGUGUGGGAGUAUACAUCGGUGCAGGCUUCCUGGAUGACAGUUGGGUGAUAUGUGUCAUGUGGCCUAAAAGCCUCCAUGUCAUUUGACCUACGAAUUCUAUCUUUGGGAAUUUAUCCUAAGAAAAUACUUAAGGAUUUAGUUAGUGAUAAGAUGUUCAUCCCAGCAUUGCAAUGGAGAAAAAUGGGAAGCAAUGGUUUGGUUGGGAAUUUAUUCCUUUUCUGCUGUAACGAAAGUUUGCAAUAGGGGAUUGCUUAAGUAAAUUAUUGUAUCUCCAUCCAGAUGGUGGAGUACCGCGCAGACAUUAAAAGUCAUGUAAAAGAACAUCUGACUGAAAGAAAAAUGCUCCUUGAAUAUUAAAAGGUUGUAAAAAUAGUGCAUGUUAUGUGAUUUCAAUUUUGUUUUUUAAAAUAUGGGUGUAUGCUUGUAUACGUAGAGCAGAUAAAAAAGACGGAAGGCAUACUAAAAAAUGUUGAGUGGUUAUCUUUGUAUGGUGGAACAAAGUCACUGUAAUUUUCAUCUUUGGUUUUUCUGUAAUUUCCAAAUUUUCCACAUUUUGUAUUUCAUAUAAUAUAAUUUAAGAGAUCA